GACGAACGCUGGCGGCGUGCCUAAUACAUGCAAGUCGAGCGGACUUUCAAGAAGCUUGCUUUUUGAAAGUUAGCGGCGGACGGGUGAGUAACACGUGGGCAACCUGCCUGCAAGACGGGGAUAACUCCGGGAAACCGGGGCUAAUACCGGAUAAUAUCUUCCUUCGCAUGAAGGAAGGUUGAAAGGCGGCGCAAGCUGCCGCUUGCAGAUGGGCCCGCGGCGCAUUAGCUAGUUGGUGAGGUAACGGCUCACCAAGGCGACGAUGCGUAGCCGACCUGAGAGGGUGAUCGGCCACACUGGGACUGAGACACGGCCCAGAAUCCUACGGGAGGCAGCAGUAGGGAAUCUUCCGCAAUGGACGAAAGUCUGACGGAGCAACGCCGCGUGAGCGAAGAAGGGCUUCGGAUCGUAAAGCUCUGUUGUCAGGGAAGAACAAGUACCGUUCGAACAGGGCGGUACCUUGACGGUACCUGACCAGAAAGCCACGGCUAACUACGUG
rnacentral:rRNA from 1 species